CCGUGAUUGGACUAACGAGCUGCAGGCUGAUGAUACUGUCUGGUUAAGUACAGAACAAUUUACUUCCAGUUCAAAGAUCAUCAACACAAACUUCCUAAACUCCAAACAAGUUGGUCUUGGCCUAGUGUGGCCCACACAAGUAUUUGUUUUAACUCACUCUAGUAAAAAAAAACCAAAAAAAAAAACAACCACCUCACUAGAAGCUCAUGGGGCACUGCCACAUCCAGCCCAGCCACGGCUUCUAUAACUGUUGUUUUUUCAACAAAACCGUAAGUUUGUUUGUUCAGCCAUUCGGAUAUGGCGAAUUUCACUACUAAUGCAAAUUCAGCCUAUUUCAAUCGUACAUAGCAUCACAGCGAUGCCUAAUUUUACAGCAAGACAGGAGGCUUCAUAUUUACUUAUCUUUCUUUACUGAACCUCCCAGCAGCAAAGAAGUAGUUAAC